rnacentral:tRNA from 1 species
GGGCAUGUGGCGGAAUUGGUAUACGCGCUACGUUCAGGUCGUAGUGAGAGCAAUCUCGUGGAGGUUCGAGUCCUCUCAUGCCCA